rnacentral:rRNA from 1 species
CCCGCACAAGCAGUGGAGUAUGUGGUUUAAUUCGAAGCAACGCGAAGAACCUUACCAGGUCUUGACAUCCCCUGACAACCCGAGAGAUCGGGCGUUCCCCUUCGGGGACAGGGUGACAGGUGGUGCAUGGUUGUCGUCAGCUCGUGUCGUGAGAUGUUGGGUUAAGUCCCGCAACGAGCGCAACCCUCGACCUUAGUUGCCAGCAUUCAGUUGGGCACUCUAAGGUGACUGCCGGCUAAAAGUCGGAGGAAGUGGGGAUGACGUCAAAUCAUCAUGCCCCUUAUGACCUGGGCUACACACGUGCUACAAUGGGCGGUACAAAGGGUCGCGAACCCGCGAGGGGGAGCCAAUCCCAAAAAGCCGCUCUCAGUUCGGAUUGCAGGCUGCAACUCGCCUGCAUGAAGCCGGAAUCGCUAGUAAUCGCGGAUCAGCAUGCCGCAGUGAAUACGUUCCCGGGCCUU